GAUGAAGAACGCAGCGAAAUGCGAUAAGUAAUGUGAAUUGCAGAAUUCAGUGAAUCAUCGAAUCUUUGAACGCACAUUGCGCCCGGCAGCAAUCUGCCGGGCAUGCCUGUCCGAGCGUCAUUUCUUCCCUCGAGCGCGGCUAGCCCUACGGGGCCUGCCGUCGCCCGGUGUUGGGGCUCUACGGGUGGGGCUCGUCCCCCCCGCAGUCCCCGAAAUGUAGUGGCGGUCCAGCCGCGGCGCCCCCUGCGUAGAAGAUCCUACAUCUCGCAUCGGGUCCCGGCGAAGGCCAGCCGUCGAACCUUUUAUUUCAUGGUUUGACCUCGGAUCAGGUAGGGUUACCCGCUGAACUUAAGCAUAUCAAUAAGCGGAGGA
rnacentral:misc_RNA from 1 species